UUUUUCCGUGGGUUUAGGUGGCUUCCCAGGAGGUGGGUCCCCUUUCUCUUUCACAGCUGCCUCUCAGAAAUGCUAGUCCCAUCCUGAUUCCUUCUCUCUCUCUCUCUCUCUCUUUUUCCUUUGCUCUACCCGGUUGUGUCAAGAGUUUCUUGCCCUUUUUGGAGGUUUAGGUUCUUCUGCCAGCAUCCAGUUGAUGGUCUGUGCGAGUCGUUUUGCAUGGCAAUGUGUUUUUUGAUGUGUUUAUGGGGGAGGUGAUGGCAACCUCUUACUCCUGCGCCAUCUUUCUCUGCCCCAACACAACCUUGCUCAGCCCCAACACAACCUGUUUUACUUUGUUUUCUGCUUUUUUAUUGAAUUGAACUUUUUUUGGAGAUCAAUUUGGAUUCAUGUUAAGGUGUAAGAAAUUAUGGAGAGAAAUACCCUGCCUUCUGACCCCAGUUCCCCCCAAUGGUAACACUCUGCAAAAUUAAACAAAAUCACAACAGGGAUAUUGACUGUGGUAGAGUCACUGGUGGUAUCUUUCCAUCAUUGCAAAGAUUCCUCUAGAUAUAGUUUUAUAGCCAUACCCAGUUAAGGUAUUUUGAUUGCAAGGAAUAAAGUCACCCCAGGAGAUCUUAAGCAAGGGAAAAAAAGAGAUUUUUUGGAUAUCUGCUUUUCUUUGCUCAUCAUCUCCUGUUCUAUUUCUUCUUUUUCAGUCAGGUGACUGCGGUGAAGCUGUCAAUCAUAGACCUUGCUCCUGUUACCAUAGAGAUUGGUCAGGUGACUGAAGGCCAGCCAAUCACAGUUUCCCUGCUUAGGAAGGGCGGACUCUCAACGAGAAAGACAGUGACAUUAAGGGAAGCAGAUUACUGUUCCAGUGCAAAGGGCUGCCCUCACAACAGAUGAAGUCAAAAUCUCAAGACUACGUCUCAUUGGUAUGACACAAGUCACAUGUCUGUUCCCAAACCUCUCACAGUGCUUGGGAGAAAAAUAUGCUGAUUAGCGAGGUCUUAGGGGAAUCUUUCUC
rnacentral:lncRNA from 1 species